AUGAACGCUAGCUACAGGCUUAACACAUGCAAGUCGAGGGGCAUCAGGAAGAAAGCUUGCUUUCUUUGCUGGCGACCGGCGCACGGGUGAGUAACACGUAUCCAACCUGCCCUUUACUCGGGGAUAGCCUUUCGAAAGAAAGAUUAAUACCCGAUGGCAUAAUGAUUCCGCAUGGUUUCAUUAUUAAAGGAUUCCGGUAAAGGAUGGGGAUGCGUUCCAUUAGGUUGUUGGUGAGGUAACGGCUCACCAAGCCUUCGAUGGAUAGGGGUUCUGAGAGGAAGGUCCCCCACAUUGGAACUGAGACACGGUCCAAACUCCUACGGGAGGCAGCAGUGAGGAAUAUUGGUCAAUGGGCGCUAGCCUGAACCAGCCAAGUAGCGUGAAGGAUGAAGGCUCUAUGGGUCGUAAACUUCUUUUAUAUAAGAAUAAAGUGCAGUAUGUAUACUGUUUUGUAUGUAUUAUAUGAAUAAGGAUCGGCUAACUCCGUGCCAGCAGCCGCGGUAAUACGGAGGAUCCGAGCGUUAUCCGGAUUUAUUGGGUUUAAAGGGAGCGUAGGUGGACUGUUAAGUCAGUUGUGAAAGUUUGCGGCUCAACCGUAAAAUUGCAGUUGAUACUGUCAGUCUUGAGUACAGUAGAGGUGGGCGGAAUUCGUGGUGUAGCGGUGAAAUGCUUAGAUAUCACGAAGAACUCCGAUUGCGAAGGCAGCUCACUGGACUGCAACUGACACUGAUGCUCGAAAGUGUGGGUAUCAAACAGGAUUAGAUACCCUGGUAGUCCACACAGUAAACGAUGAAUACUCGCUGUUUGCGAUAUACAGUAAGCGGCCAAGCGAAAGCAUUAAGUAUUCCACCUGGGGAGUACGCCGGCAACGGUGAAACUCAAAGGAAUUGACGGGGGCCCGCACAAGCGGAGGAACAUGUGGUUUAAUUCGAUGAUACGCGAGGAACCUUACCCGGGCUUAAAUUGCAGUGGAAUGAUGUGGAAACAUGUCAGUGAGCAAUCACCGCUGUGAAGGUGCUGCAUGGUUGUCGUCAGCUCGUGCCGUGAGGUGUCGGCUUAAGUGCCAUAACGAGCGCAACCCUUAUCUUCAGUUACUAACAGGUUAUGCUGAGGACUCUGGAGAGACUGCCGUCGUAAGAUGUGAGGAAGGUGGGGAUGACGUCAAAUCAGCACGGCCCUUACGUCCGGGGCUACACACGUGUUACAAUGGGGGGUACAGAAGGCAGCUAGCGGGUGACCGUAUGCUAAUCCCAAAAUCCUCUCUCAGUUCGGAUCGAAGUCUGCAACCCGACUUCGUGAAGCUGGAUUCGCUAGUAAUCGCGCAUCAGCCACGGCGCGGUGAAUACGUUCCCGGGCCUUGUACACACCGCCCGUCAAGCCAUGGGAGCCGGGGGUACCUGAAGUACGUAACCGCAAGGAUCGUCCUAGGGUAAAACUGGUGACUGGGGCU
rnacentral:rRNA from 1 species